UACGUAGGGUGCAAGCGUUGUCCGGAAUUAUUGGGCGUAAAGAGCUCGUAGGCGGUCUGUCGCGUCGGCUGUGAAAUCCCGAGGCUCAACCUCGGGUCUGCAGUCGAUACGGGCAAACUAGAGUAUUGCAGGGGAGACUGGAAUUCCUGGUGUAGCGGUGAAAUGCGUAGAUAUCUGGAGGAACACCGGUGGCGAAGGCGGCAUCCUGGACCGACACUGACGCUGAGGAGCGAAAGCCAGGGGAGCAAACGGG
rnacentral:rRNA from 1 species